rfam:Loxodonta africana unplaced genomic scaffold scaffold_45, whole genome shotgun sequence.
GCAUUGGUGGCUCAGUGGUAGAAUUCUUGCCUUCCACGCAGGAGACCCGGGUUCAAGUCCUGGCCAGUGCA